AUUGAACGCUGGCGGCAGGCUUAACACAUGCAAGUCGAGCGGGGGAAGUUGCUUCGGUAAUUGACCUAGCGGCGGACGGGUGAGUAAUACUUAGGAAUCUGCCUAUUAAUGGGGGACAACAUCUCGAAAGGGAUGCUAAUACCGCAUACGCCCUACGGGGGAAAGCAGGGGAUCACUUGUGACCUUGCGUUAAUAGAUGAGUCUAAGUCGGAUUAGCUAGUUGGAGGGGUAAAGGUCUACCAAGGCGACGAGCUGUAGCGGGUCUGAGAGGAUGAUCCGCCACACUGGGACUGAGACACGGCCCAGACUCCUACGGGAGGCAGCAGUGGGGAAUAUUGGACAAUGGGGGGAACCCUGAUCCAGCCAUGCGGCGUGGGUGAAGAAGGCCUUAUGGUUGUAAAGCACUUUAAGCGAGGAGGGGGCUCUUUUGGUUAAUCCCAAAGAUGAGUGGACGUUACUCGCAGAAUAAGCACCGGCUAACUCUGUGCCAGCAGCCGCCGUAAUAC
rnacentral:rRNA from 1 species